AUUGAACGCUGGCGGCAUGCUUUACACAUGCAAGUCGAACGGUAACAGGCCUUCGGUGGCUGACGAGCGUUGAACGGGGGCGGAAUGCAUCGGAACGGACCCCGAGGUUGUGGAUAAGGCAGCGAAUGCUGUGCUCAUACCUCAUGCGAUCUGAGAAUGAAAACGGGAGACCUCGCAGCAAUGUUUGGCCUCGCGCCUUUGUAACGGCCGAUGUCGGAUUAGCUAGUUGGUGGGGUAAAGGCCUACCAAGGCGACGAUCCGUAGCUGGUCUGAGAGGACGAUCGGCCACACUGGGACUGAGACACGGCCCAGACUCCUACGGGAGGCAGCAGUGGGGAAUUUUCGGCAAUGGGCGAAAGCCUGAUGCAGCAAUGCCGCGUGAGGGAAGAAGGCCUUCGGGUUGUAAAACGCUUUUGGUAGGAAAGAACCGAUGUGCACGAAAACCUGCAGGUAAUGACGGUACCUGCAGAGAAAGCCACGGCUAACUACGUG
rnacentral:rRNA from 1 species